rnacentral:lncRNA from 1 species
CAAUACCUUACCCGAUGCCUUGGGCCUUGAUCACGAACAUCCUCCGAGUACAAAAUACUUCGGGGCAUUCCUCGGCGAAUAAACACAAAUACUUCGGGGCAUUACCCGGGCAAAUGAUACACUUGAUCCAAAAAGAAAACAACCAAACCAAUUCAUUCAACACAUAUAUCAAGCAUUCAAUAUUCCAAGAGUCCUAAAUUUGCCUACCCGACCUACUUUGCCAAUUAAUUCUCAUCCUAAACGUUGUAUUAUAGAAGUUAUCCAAAAUCGAUAUCUAUUCUGAAAUGAACAAUCAACAAUCAUGAAUCAAAAUGCAACAAUAUUUACUUUAUCAAUUUUUCGAUCUUUUUUCCCAAAAUCCAACUUAACCCCAAAUCAAACUACAUGAUUAACAUACUUCGCAACCAGAUUGACAACUAAAUAAUAACGAGUGAAAUUGCUCCAAUCAGAAUCAACAAAAAUCACACCAUUCAAAAACAUUCACAAUAAUAGGAACAAAAGAUGAAGAAUUGACCUCAAUUGAUGACUUUAUUUUGACAACUUAUGAUGGAUCGGAGCUCAUAAACGGGACCUAAUCGAAACCUUAAAUCGAAAUGGAGCACGAUGGAAAGCAGUCGAAUCUGCCAGUUUUCCCUCAUUCAAACCAGUCACUGUUCUCGAUCUUUCCGUCGAUUUCAACUCUUUCGGCCAGCACUCUCUCUCGAUUCAUUUUUUUCCUCACACAGAUCUCUCUCUACCUCUCUCGAAUCUCUUCUCUCUCUUGGUUUCUCUCCACGUUACUCUUUCUUUCUCCCUGAUUUCUGUAUAUAUGUGUGUGUGUUUCAGAAAGAAGAAAAGAAGAGAGCCAAAUUGGCGUCUCUCUGAAGAUGAUGAUAAUCUUUCUCUCUCCCUAAUUUCAGCUCCUUUCCUGCCUCUAAUCUGUGCGUGUACUGAUAUAUCGAUGGGAGAUCUAAGAUGGGUUUGAGAUAUGGUGGUGCGUGUGUAUAUUUUCUAGUGUGUGCAGGUGUAUUGUUUUGUUGAAGAUGAGUGAAGAAGAUCCGUUCUUGUGGGUGUCUUUUUGUCCCUCUCUAAUGGGUAUCCAUUCUGUUGUUUUUGGAUGAUCUCUAUCUCAAUGGAGAGAAUGUUGUGUAUAUCUCCAUAUGGAAAAUAGAAUUCCUCCCUAGUAUUCCCUGUGGGCCCUCCCCCUUUUUCAUAUGAUGUGUGUCUAUAUAUUCCUAAUAAGAAUGGAAAUUGAUCAAUAGUCAUGUGGGCCCCCUCUCUUUUGUUUUAUUCCAAGGGAAAGAAGAAAAAUGUGACGUAUUUGUUGUAUGG